GCAUGGAAAUGGAUUUAUGGCAUGCCCUUCUCUGUGGGCCUGUCAUAGUGUUCCCAUGCCAGAGUAAGCCACAGCCCCAAACCAUUGCCCAGCCUCCUUACCUGUGUGCCGUAGGCUCCGAAGGGGGUUGCACAAUA
rnacentral:snoRNA from 1 species